rnacentral:misc_RNA from 1 species
AAGACGGCCAAAACUGACUCUUAAAGUCGACUAAUUAUUGGGUAUACUGGGAGCACUAAAAAAUAAUGAUCCCUUAAAUACAAAAAAUUAAUUAUUCUUAAUUUUAAGAAAAUAUGACCCAUAUAUUUUCAGAGAAAGUGUAUGUGCACUGGCUAUACCUAAUAAUCUCUCACUAAAGUAUAUCUCAUACCAGUUCAAGCCUUUAAACUGCCGAUUCAAGUUGGUCUUGGCCCGGUUCAGAGCCAGAACCGGCGGCCCUGGUCGGGUCUAGUGGAUGAAUCGCUUCAAGAGAACAAAUCUUCCAUGGAAGCUCUUCUUUUUCUUUCACUUUUUGAAGAAACCAAUAUCAAUGGAGUCUUUGAAACCCCAUGCAGUUUGUAUUCCAUUUCCUGCUCAAGGCCACAUAAACCCUAUGCUAAAACUUGCAAAACUACUUCAUUUCAGAGGCUUCCACAUCACCUUUGUCCAUACAGAAUUCAACUACCAACGCAUACUCAGCAACAGAGGUCCUGAUUCUCUCAAGGGCUUCCAUGAUUUCCAGUUUGAAACUAUCUCCGAUGGUCUGCCGGAGGCUAGCCAGCGAGGCAUCGAAGACUUGCAACACCUCUCUAUAACCUUGCCGGACCAUGGCCGG